rnacentral:rRNA from 1 species
UUACACAUGCAAGUCGAGCGGUAACAUUUCUAGCUUGCUAGAAGAUGACGAGCGGCGGACGGGUGAGUAACGCGUAGGAAUCUGCCUAGUAGUGGGGGACAACAUGUGGAAACGCAUGCUAAUACCGCAUACGCCCUACGGGGGAAAGGAGGGGAUCUUCGGACCUUUCGCUAUUAGAUGAGCCUGCGUGAGAUUAGCUAGUUGGUGGGGUAAAGGCCUACCAAGGCGACGAUCUCUAGCUGGUCUGAGAGGAUGAUCAGCCACACUGGGACUGAGACACGGCCCAGACUCCUACGGGAGGCAGCAGUGGGGAAUAUUGGACAAUGGGCGCAAGCCUGAUCCAGCCAUGCCGCGUGUGUGAUGAAGGCCUUAGGGUUGUAAAGCACUUUCAGGAGUGAGGAAGGGCGUAUAGUUAAUACCUGUAUGUUUUGACGUUAACUCCAGAAGAAGCACCGGCUAACUCUGUGCCAGCAGCCGCGGUAAUACAGAGGGUGCGAGCGUUAAUCGGAAUUACUGGGCGUAAAGCGCGCGUAGGCGGUUUGUUAAGUCGGAUGUGAAAUCCCAGGGCUCAACCUUGGAAUGGCACCCGAUACUGGCA